UACGUAGGGGGCUAGCGUUGUCCGGAAUCAUUGGGCGUAAAGAGCGUGUAGGCGGCCCGGUAAGUCCGCUGUGAAAGUCGGGGGCUCAACCCUCGAAUGCCGGUGGAUACUGUCGGGCUAGAGUGCGGAAGAGGCGAGUGGAAUUCCUGGUGUAGCGGUGAAAUGCGUAGAUAUCAAGAGGAACACCUGCGGCGAAGGCGGGUUGCUGGGCUGACACUGACGCUGAUGCGCGAAAGCCAGGGGAGCGAACGGG
rnacentral:rRNA from 1 species